AGGACGAACGCUGGCGGCGUGCUUAACACAUGCAAGUCGAACGGAAAGGCCCUUCGGGGUACUCGAGUGGCGAACGGGUGAGUAACACGUGGGUGAUCUGCCCUGCACUUUGGGAUAAGCCUGGGAAACUGGGUCUAAUACCGAAUAUGACCAUGGGAUGCAUGUCUUGUGGUGGAAAGCUUUUGCGGUGUGGGAUGGGCCCGCGGCCUAUCAGCUUGUUGGUGGGGUUAAGGCCUACCAAGGCGACGACGGGUAGCCGGCCUGAGAGGGUGUCCGGCCACACUGGGACUGAGAUACGGCCCAGACUCCUACGGGAGGCAGCAGUGGGGAAUAUUGCACAAUGGGCGCAAGCCUGAUGCAGCGACGCCGCGUGGGGAUGACGGCCUCGGGUUGUAAACCUCUUUCAGUAGGGACGAAGCGCAAGUGACGGUACCUACAGAAGAAGCACCGGCCAACUACGUGCCAGCAGCCGC
rnacentral:rRNA from 1 species